AAGCCCGGUCCGUUACCCGUUUCCAGCCCUAUUUCACCGUCUCCCCCAUCCUGUCGAUCUGCAGUCCGAGAAGAAGAUAUGAGUUCUCAGGGCCGAACAACCUCGCUCCAACGCCUUCAUCUCGUCGAGAAGCGAAUAGUUCGAGUGGUGGAGCUGGCGGGGUCGGUGAUGGACGAGCUCGCAAAUUCCACGGGGCCCAGAAAGGAUAUCCUCACCAACUAUUGCCGCGAGUUCAUGCAGUCCAUCAAGGACAUCCAAACAACAUUGCGUGAGGAAAUCAAAAGUGCUUGUGAGUAUCGUCCAUUUGAGAAGUGUGAUUAUAGUGAAAGGAUUUCUAAUGAGAUUUGUUGCAAGAAAUUGGAGUACAUUAUCGAGCAGUUGGAUGGUAUGCAACAAAGCAUUGUUCAGUGUAAAGAUGGAAUAUGAGAAGAAGCUAAACUUCAACUAGAUUAGACCUGCGAUUUUCUUUCUUAUCAGGAGUUCAGCUGUAAUAUUCUGUGAUUGGGUCUACGGUAUGGCUUAAAGUAAACGGAUCACCAUCAGAAACAAGAUACCACUUAAUAUCUCAAACGAUUAUUAGGAAUUGUGUUCUCUCUCUCUCUGUCUUGUAUAUGUUGAGAUAUAUUCAAUGAACUUGUUAUAGACUGAAAUUUAGUUCUGACUUCAGAUGCAUUAGCUGCAUGGGGUUAUUGUUUUGAAGACCAUGUUGCGGUGAUGCUUCAAUUAUAUUUAGGAAUACCUUACUAGGGAAUUCAUAAACAAUAUACAUGCAUGCUUUGCAAGCAAA